rnacentral:rRNA from 1 species
AGCGAACGCUGGCGGCAGGCCUAACACAUGCAAGUCGAACGAACCCUUCGGAGUUAGUGGCGGACGGGUGAGUAACACGUGGGGACGUGCCUUUUGGUUCGGAAUAACUCAGGGAAACUUGUGCUAAUACCGAAUGUGCCCUUCGGGGGAAAGAUUUAUCGCCAUUAGAGCGGCCCGCGUCUGAUUAGCUAGUUGGUGAGGUAACGGCUCACCAAGGCGACGAUCAGUAGCUGGUCUGAGAGGAUGACCAGCCACACUGGGACUGAGACACGGCCCAGACUCCUACGGGAGGCAGCAGUGGGGAAUCUUGCGCAAUGGGCGAAAGCCUGACGCAGCCAUGCCGCGUGAAUGAUGAAGGUCUUAGGAUUGUAAAAUUCUUUCACCGGGGACGAUAAUGACGGUACCCGGAGAAGAAGCCCCGGCUAACUUCGUG